GAUGAACGCUGGCGGCGUGCCUAAUACAUGCAAGUCGAGCGAACAGACGAGGAGCUUGCUCCUCUGACGUUAGCGGCGGACGGGUGAGUAACACGUGGAUAACCUACCUAUAAGACUGGGAUAACUUCGGGAAACCGGAGCUAAUAACGGAUAAUAUAUUGAACCGCAUGGUUCAAUAGUGAAAGACGGUUUUGCUGUCACUUAUAGCUGGAUCCGCGUCGCAUUAGCUAGUUGGUAAGGUAACGGCUUACCAAGGCAACGAUGCGUAGCCGACCUGAGAGGAUGAUCAGCCACACUGGAACUGAGACACGGUCCAGACUCCUACGGGAGGCAGCAGUAGGGAAUCUUCCGCAAUGGGCGAAAGCCUGACGGAGCAACGCCGCGUGAGUGAUGAAGGUCUUCGGAUCGUAAAACUCUGUUAUUAGGAAAGAACAAAUGUGUAAGUAUCUAUGCACGUCUUGACGGUACCUAAUCAGAAAGCCACGGCUAACUACGUG
rnacentral:rRNA from 1 species